rnacentral:rRNA from 1 species
AGAGUUUGAUCCUGGCUCAGGACGAACGCUGGCGGCGUGCCUAACACAUGCAAGUCGAGCGAAUGAAGUUCCUUCGGGAACGGAUUUAGCGGCGGACGGGUGAGUAACACGUGGGCAACCUGCCUCAUAGAGGGGAAUAGCCUUCCGAAAGGGAGAUUAAUACCGCAUAAGAUUGUAGUACCGCAUGGUACAGCAAUUAAAGGAGUAAUCCGCUAUGAGAUGGGCCCGCGGCGCAUUAGCUAGUUGGUGAGGUAACGGCUCCCCAAGGCAAUGAUAGGUAGGCGGCCUUAACGGGUGGUCGCCCACACUGGGAUUGAGAAACGGCCCAGACUCCUACGGGAGGCAGCAGUCGAGAAUAGUCUACAAUGGCCGAAAGGCUGAUAGUGCGACGCCGCGUGAACGAGGAAUCCCUUCGGGGUGUAAAGUUCUUUUAUAUGUGAGCAGUGCCGGCUAUAUUAAUAGUAUAGUUGGAGAGAUAUUAGCAUAUGAAUAAGCAACGGCUAACUCCGUGCCAGCAGCCGCGGUAACACGGGGGUUGCAAGCGUUGUCCGGAAUUACUAGGCGUAAAGGGCAGGCAGGCGGACCUGCAAGUUUUCUGUUAAAGACGUCAGCUCAACUGGCGCACGGCAGGAGAUACUGCAGGUCUUGAAUGCGGUUGGGGAAGACAGAAUUCCUGGUGUAGCGGUGGAAUGCGCAGAGAUCAGGAGGAAUACCAAAGGCGAAGGCAGUCUUCCAAGCCGUUAUUGACGCUGAACUGCGAAGGUGUGGGUAUCAAACAAGAUUAGAUACCCUGGUAGUCCACACAGUAA